rnacentral:sRNA from 1 species
AAACAUGAUUUAAAUGUAACUUGAGAGAAAGCAAUGCAAUUUUAAAUAACAUCACGUGAAACUGUUUCCAUUGUUAAUAAAUAGUAAACAAUCGUUAUUUUUAAUCUCUGCAGCCGUUAUGAUAACAACGAGACUGGGGAGUUUGUUUUCUACAAACAUACAUUGUAUCCUUAUGAGGUUCGCAUAUUCAACCGAGAAUGUGCAUUUAACACUCCAAGUCAGAGGAGUUGCACAUGUGCUCUGGCUGUUAGGAUCAAUGAAGAUGUCGUACUCCUGAAAGGUUGCCAGCCUGGAGAAGAACUUGAACCAAAAUUAUUCAGAGGAAAAACUUCUGACCAAUUUUACGUCAGGCGUUAUGAUGGAGGCAGACAGUUUGAUGUCAUUUUGCCAACAGGUGGCCGAGUGGUGAUACAAAAAAACUUUUUAGACUCCAUAAAUAUUUGGAUUUAUCCAAGUGUAGCAGACGUGAAUUCAACUACAGGUCUUUGUGGAUCUUUUGGGCCUGGAUCUCGUGAUAGGAAUUUUACUACCGCUGACGUAAACAGUUGGAG